rnacentral:rRNA from 1 species
UUUCCUACGGGGGGCAGCAGUGGGGAAUAUUGCACAAUGGGCGAAAGCCUGAUGCAGCGACGCCGCGUGGGUGAAGAAGCGCCUCGGCGCGUAAAGCCCUGUCAGCAGGGAAGAAAAUGACGGUACCUGAAUAAGAGGCCCCGGCUAACUACGUGCCAGCAGCCGCGGUAAUACGUAGGGGGCAAGCGUUAUCCGAAUUUACUGGGUGUAAAGGGAGCGCAGACGGCAGAGCAAGUCUGGAGUGAAAGCCCGGGGCCCAACCCCGGAAC